rnacentral:rRNA from 1 species
UGGGUAACCUGCCUCAAAGAGGGGAAUAGCCUCCCCGAAAAGGGAGAUUAAUACCGCAUAAUAUGUUUUAGUCGCAUGACUUAAACAUCAAAGGAUUUUCUUUUAGAAAUUCCACUUUGAGAUGGACCCGCGGCGCAUUAGCUAGUUGGUGAGGUAACGGCUCACCAAGGCAACGAUGCGUAGCCGACCUGAGAGGGUGAUCGGCCACAUUGGAACUGAGACACGGUCCAGCUCCGUAGGAG